CUCAGGCCAAAAGAACUGGUCAAUCUUCCAUACCCUUUUUGUAUGUAAACAGUUUGGCUGCAGAGAGCACAGCCAGCUGAGGUGCAAGUUUUUGGAGCACCUUAACCACAAGAUGCUCUAUAGAGAUAAUAAGAGCAAAAACAACUCCUUCCUCUUUGACCUGGGACACCUGGGGGCUCGGUAGUUUUCCAUUCCCCUCUACCCUUACCCCACCCUGCAAAAACUGCCUUAUAAAAAUAAAACCUUGCCUGCAAUAAACGGAGCCUUGCCACAUCUCAGACUGACUUUGUCUUUCUUUACGCGCUUGGUUCCCUUUUCCCUUUCCCCCCAUUGUUUCUAGGUGAUGCCUCCUCAAGACCCAUAAACUACCUGGCCCGAGGAACGGUGGUCGCCGGACAGCACCGAUUAAAAAGAGAAGGAUCUGGAUCGCCUUUUGGUAGAGACAUUCUGCAUCGCUCGUGCUGCAUCUUGAGUCUUUAAUAGAUUCUGCCUUAAAGCCUGCUGAAGUUCAUUAUCAUCGCUUGACAAUUAAUGAAGAAGCUGCCGCGAUUGAGCUAUCGCCCGUGAUUGCUGACCAACCACCAGAGAAUUCCCUUCCCUCUCCUCACCCCUUUUCCUAUUCCCCUCUUAGAUUUACAACACCCCCUAACCCAGGUCCAGGAUGGAAAUUUUGGAAAAAAUUUUUAAAUUUGGCCAUGUCAGAUCUAUCCCCAUGGUGCCUUAAAUUUGCAAACCCCGUGAGUAGAAGGCUGGAAAGUCAGUGACGGAAGAAUCGUCUAAGCCUAGACCCACCUAAGACAGGGCAGUCCCAAUGGGGAGGAUGACCCAAAGACGGGUAAAGGUCUAGCAUCACUCUUCUAACAGGCUCAGUCUCUCUCAUGUUUGGACUUUGACGAUAGCCACAAGGCUAUAGAACCCCUAACGUUGAGGCCUUGCACGCUGAGGGCUUGUUCCCAUUGCACCAGCUUAGGCUCGAAUCAAUUUUGGGUCUGCUCUGGCUCUAAAAAUCGUCAGUCCCGGGUUAUAAGUUCUAGCACCUAGAUCCUAAAUUUCGAUUGGCUCAUUUAUAUAAAAGAAAGGGGGAGAUGUGAGACCCUCAGGCCAAAAGAACUGGUCAAUCUUCCAUACCCUUUUUGUAUGUAAACAGUUUGCUGCAGAGAGCACAGCCAGCUGAGGUGCAAGUUUUUGGAGCACCUUAACCACAAGAUGCUCUAUAGAGAUAAUAAGAGCAAAAACAACUCCUUCCUCUUUGACCUGGGACACCUGGGGGCUCGGUAGUUUUCCAUUCCCCUCUACCCUUACCCCACCCUGCAAAAACUGCCUUAUAAAAAUAAAACCUUGCCUGCAAUAAACGGAGCCUUGCCACAUCUCA